GAUAGGGUGCACUUCGUCCGAUACGUUGGUAUUCUGGGGUUGUCUUUAGAUUGAGUGUUUUUGUCGACAUACACGUGUUAUGCGAGUUUUAGUGAUUUGUAUUGGGUAUCAAUGGAAGUGUAACAAGAUACGAGAAGGCAAUUUUUUUCGGAAACUGGAAACGAGUCAGAACAUUCUGGAACAAUUACAAGUUAAUAAGUUAAAAAUUUGUUGUAGAGGUUAGGACUGACAACUGAAGGGAACCAUUAGUAACCAGUAGUUCCUAAUGCACCCCCAAAAUUACCGAAAAUAAAGGAGGAUACCAUAUUGUAGAUUUGAUUGGGAUUAUAGGUAUAUAUGAUAAUUUAUGUCGUUAAUUGUGUCUGGGUGAGGUGUCAUUUCUGAAGUGUUAGGGUUGAUAAGCAGUGUUAGUUAUCAGUUGUAAAAACUGGGAACAGUAGUGAGUUACAGAGUUGCCCAACUGUUAGAAAAGGUAGGGUGUGUGCAAUUUAGAAAUGUUUUACAUAUUUAUACAUAUGUUCCACUACCCAUAAAGCAAACCAUGUUCCUUAUGAUAACAUGAUUGAAGAAGCUGCAAAGUUAGUGGCUGAAGAGCCAUUGAAGAGAGCAGCAUCACAUGUAAAUAAAACUCUUUGAAUCCUGAGAAAUAUGAAAUUUCAGUUUUUGGAACUGGCUUUGAAUAGAUCAUGGCUUACAUGACAUUGUGUCAGUAAUUAAAGCAGACUCUGGGAGAGUAAUCAGUGUUGAGGUGAAUUUGUCAGAAAGAUUGAUGAUGAUCACUGAGAUGCCAUUAGAUGGGACACUGCCAAAACAACACUGAGUGUUGCACUGCCUCCCAUCCCGUCUCUGACAUGAUUCUGAAACUAGCGAUGAGGAGUGUUAGAGAGAGAGAGAGAGAGAGAAGAUGGUGUCACAAGUUUCUGAAUAAUGUGCUUGUGACAUCACAAUCAGAAGACCAACAUUAACAUCUUCACUGCCAUGAGAACCUGAAAUCUCACACUUGGAUUAAGCAGUGUGUGGGUCGGGAUUGAAGCUUGGGACUUCCAAUUAAUAUGACUUAGGAGUGGUUAGCAGUACUCAGCAGUGGAGCAUGGUUUGUUGACUGACCUUAUGGAUGGAGCUGCUGGUCAGGAUUAUGUAGGUUUUUGUGGAUCAUGUGUAUCAGCACACGUUUGUUCCAGUGACCAACAUUUGCUUCUGGCCCUCUGACCCCAGUUAUGAUUUGUGCUACAUCACUACAUUGGCACCAAAUUGUUUGUACAAAGGACAGAAGUGGGCGUUUGAAGACACUUGGAUAACCGAUGGAAAAUCUGAAAGUGGUGACUGCUUUUAUGACAGAGAUGACCUCAGAUCAAGUCAUCAGGAAGAAGUCCGUUUCCGUGGAGUUAUGGUUUCCUGAAGAAAAAAAAUACAGGUUUCUUCUGAUUGGAUGAAGCUCUGAAGUUGUUUAAGGGAUGGUGAUAUAAAGGUAGUGCACUUCAUUCAUUUCUCCAGAAGUGAUUGUGAAGUGGCAGAAAUAUAAAACUGAACAGGAUGGUGUCCGAGACCUACAACUUCUUCAUUCUGCUUGUGGUGGCUGUACUGUGUACCGGUGCCUGUGCUGAGGGGGAAUUGGAAGAUGAAACUGUUUCUGUCGAUAGGAAUUCACUCUCGUCGAUCAGGCUGCCGAAUGACAUGUCACUGCCGGCAAACAUGCUGCAACUUGUGACUGCAGCCGGAGCUUUGGUACUUGGAUUUAUUGGUGUUGCUGUAGUUCUCUCCUUGAUCCUGCCGCUAUUUGGAGUUCGCUUCUGUCAUCUCGUGGGCACCUGUGAUCAUUUUGGUACGACGGCUUACUCGGGCAGUGGCGUUGGCCAUAACUAUGAUGCGUACGGCGCUGCGGGGACGUACAACCAGCCUUCCCUUUCCUACGCUAACAACAAUUUUCAGAAGCGGUCCUUGGAAUAUGUGGGCCCAAUACUGAAGGCAUUGAGCGCUGCUUACGAUAAAUAUGCAGUGCCUAUUAUCAAUAAGAAAGAUUAAAUUAAAAAUAAUAAACUCAAACUUUUAUUUGGUAUUUAGAUGUUGCAAGAAGAUCUUUGUAAGUUAAUUAUAAAUUCAUGUGCCAUAUAAAUAUAUGUAUGGAUAUUAUAAACUUUUGAGUUUCACACGAACAUUUCUUGUGGUCGUCGAAACAUCCAGGCAUAGAGAAUAGAUUAUUUGUGUUAUGGGCUGUUACUUUGAGUGGAGUAAUCUGUACGAAGUAAAAAUGUUUCAUUUCUGUUUUAUAUUAUGUAUCUCAUAUAGAAAGGUUUUCGGCGAACUUAAUAGUUUAUUCGUUUAAUCAAAAAUUUUAUAUUUCCUUUGAUAAUGACAUAUUUCUUCUUCAGGGUAUCAGAGUUUUGGUAAUGUCAAUAGCAGGUACAAAAGUUACGCGUAUAGGAAAUAAUCCCAGUGACUAGCGUAUUCUGAACGUAGAGUGCACUGUAAAAUAUUUAAAUUUGUUUACAAACAGUAAGGUGUUAAUACUGAUGACGUGCGACUAGAACUUUUAUUUAUUAAUGUAAUGGAUUGUCACAACAGAGUUGGUAAAUGAAGAUAGCUCAGUCAGAAUUGGUAUAACCAUGUCAGUAGAGACAAAAGCUUUCUUCUUUGCCACCAAGUGUGGAUUUUUUACCUGUGUGACCCACCCAGACAGUUGGAGCUUUAAUCUGACCUCUCACCUCCAUCUCAGUGUCCACCUAUACUCUGCUGUGGUGUUAUGCCUGUGCACAGUCGCUGCUUAGCCUUUGUCGUAGUACAGAGUAAAUUAAGUUUUAGGUUUUGAGUUUUGUGUAGCAUGGAAAAGUUUUAUUAAAAGAUUAUUAUGCACUAUUUUUAAUAAUUUA